rnacentral:rRNA from 1 species
AUAGCCCUACGGGGCGCAGCAGUGGGGAAUAUUGCACAAUGGGGGAAACCCUGAUGCAGCGACGCCGCGUGAGUGAAGAAGUAUCUCGGUACGUAAAGCUCUAUCAGCAGGGAAGAAAAUGACGGUACCUGACUAAGAAGCCCCGGCUAACUACGUGCCAGCAGCCGCGGUAAUACGUAGGGGGCAAGCGUUAUCCGGAUUUACUGGGUGUAAAGGGAGCGAAGACGGAAGCACAAGUCUGGAGUGAAAUCCCGGGGCUUA